AUUGAACGCUGGCGGCAUGCCUUACACAUGCAAGUCGAACGGCAGCGCGGACUUCGGUCUGGCGGCGAGUGGCGAACGGGUGAGUAAUACAUCGGAACGUACCCUGUUGUGGGGGAUAACUAGUCGAAAGAUUAGCUAAUACCGCAUACGACCUGAGGGUGAAAGUGGGGGACCGCAAGGCCUCACGCAGCAGGAGCGGCCGAUGUUUGAUUAGCUAGUUGGUGGGGUAAAGGCCCACCAAGGCGACGAUCAGUAGCUAGUCUGAGAGGACGAUCAGCCACACUGGGACUGAGACACGGCCCAGACUCCUACGGGAGGCAGCAGUGGGGAAUUUUGGACAAUGGGGGCAACCCUGAUCCAGCAAUGCCGCGUGUGUGAAGAAGGCCUUCGGGUUGUAAAGCACUUUUGUCCGGAAAGAAAUCGCGCUGGUUAAUACCUGGCGUGGAUGACGGUACCGGAAGAAUAAGCACCGGCUAACUACGUG
rnacentral:rRNA from 1 species